rnacentral:rRNA from 1 species
AUACGGAGGGGGCUAGCGUUGUUCGGAAUUACUGGGCGUAAAGCGUACGUAGGCGGACUGAUCAGUUGGGGGUGAAAUCCCAGGGCUUAACCCUGGAACUGCCUUCAAUACUGUCAGUCUAGAGUUUGGGAGAGGUGAGUGGAAUUCCUAGUGUAGAGGUGAAAUUCAUAGAUAUUAGGAGGAACACCAGUGGCGAAGGCGGCUCACUGGCCCAUUACUGACGCUGAGGUACGAAAGCGUGGGGAGCAAACAGGAUUAGAUACCCUAGUAGUCC